GCGGUGUUAGCUCAGCUGGAUAGAGCGUCUGGCUUCGAACCAGAAGGCCGGGGGUUCGAAUCCCUCACAUCGCACCA
rnacentral:tRNA from 1 species